rnacentral:rRNA from 1 species
UACAGAGGGGGCGAGCGUUGUUCGGAAUUACUGGGCGUAAAGGGCGCGUAGGCGGCCUUCUAAGUCGAACGUGAAAUCCCCGGGCUCAACCCGGGAACUGCGUCCGAUACUGGGAGGCUUGAAUCCGGGAGAGGGAUGUGGAAUUCCAGGUGUAGCGGUGAAAUGCGUAGAUAUCUGGAGGAACACCGGUGGCGAAGGCGGCAUCCUGGACCGGUAUUGACGCUGAGGCGCGAAAGCCAGGGGA